UAUUGAUCCAAGAAUAUUCCCUUGAAGUAUAGGUUUAGUGUUAUUUUUGAGUGAUUAGAAAACAUUGUUUCAGGUUUUCUGUCAGCCUGUUUUUAUUUUUAUGUAUUUAUUUGUUUAUUUAUAUAUUAUUUUUGACUAAAUCUGAAAAAAAAAAGAGCCUAAGACCAGCGCAACUAAAAUCCAUCACUUACGCAUGACUUUUAUCUUGAAAGCUCGUCCGUGUGUUGUACGCAGAAGUUGCACGUCUUCACUGUGCACUGCAGGGUCGUCCUUAGGGGGGUGCAACUGGUGCAGUUGCACCGGGCCCCGUGCUUGAGGGGGCCCCCCGGCGAACGGACAGAGGGGGGAAAGGAACGCGAUCACGAAUGGACUAAGCCUUCAGCGUGGGCGACUGCUCUGCGAGACACGGGAUGGGAGGUGCCAGAAGGUGUGAGAGACGGCGAGGAGGGCCAAGGUCAGGUCUAGGGGAGGUGCUGUGUUAAACGGUCAGGGGGUGGAGCUGUGUAAGUCAUAUUAAGAGGAAAUACUGCAUCACCUUCCUGCUGACACACGCAUCAGGGUCAUGACUCCUGGAUGUGUGUUGUGUAUUUCCCUUUAUCUGACCAUGUUUUUACCAUUUGUAUAAGUUUGACUACAAAUACCACGGGUAAACUAUGGUUAGUGCAACAAAAACUAUAUUAAUCAUGUUUUAUAUUUGUUUGUUUUAUUUAUAUUAAAACCAUGGUUAAUAUUUAAAGAUUGCAAUGCUGCACCUUCAUAUAAUAUACAUUUGCAUCUUUAAAUCAGAAUAUAGUAAAGUUCAUAGUCAAAUUUUACAUUAGCUUGAGAAAAAGCUAGUAUAUGAAGCUAUUUAAAAACUUGAGGUUUGAAGGGUUGAAGUUUGAAGUACGGUAGAUUUAAAGAGUUUUAAAAGAAACAGAUUCAGUUCAUCCGAGCCGAUUGGAAUAGUAGGAGAGUUGUUUAAGAUCUCAGUAUACAGUGCUGUAUAGCUGUGGGCCUGUUCUAACAUGUGAGGUAUGUAUCUGAAAGACAUGCAUUCACUGACUGUAGGCUACCCUGUUAACUAGACAAAACACUUCCUUUAGCCCUCUGAUUUUGACAAAUGAAGGAGGAGAAAGAAAAAGUGAGAAAGAAACAAUGGAUCAUAAUAUUUGUCCCAAUAGUUGAUUCAUCUCAUUCACAUGCAUUCCACAACCUUUUUCUGCUGUUGAUACUUACAGCACAUUCUCACACAUAACACAUGUUGUAUUCCUGUCAUAACUGUGAAAUAUUCAUUCAAACAAAACCUUGCAGUCAUUUGAAUUUACUGUCUUUAAAUCCAACUAAAGAGCUCAAAUGAGUCAAGAAUCAAACACUUGCGUGUUUUUACAGUUGAACUGGUUAAGAAUCAGCAUAAAAAAUGCUUCCUUCAACUACCACUCCCUCUAUUUUGGUCUGAAUUCUUUGUUAACAAAAGACAGUUGAUCCUUUGGCAUUAACAAUUUACUGUCUGUUAAAUCUGAGUGUAAAUCUGUGCAUAUGUUCACACCCAGCUGUAUCUUGUUUGUUCAAAUGUAAGAAGUCGGUCACAGAACAGAAAACUACAUAACUUCAGACAGAGAGAGUAGAAUGAGAUCAAAGAGAGGUAUGAAAGAGACCAAACAACGUGUCCAUUUCUAGUCAUUAGCAGAGCUUUAUUGGUAAACAUAUUAAAAUUCCAAAGAUACAAUCUCACACCACACAGUUUAGAUUAAGUAUUACUGCACAUUGGCAUUUCUGCUGAAGCUGCCUUCGUUAAGUCCACUGAAUUGCAUUGAAUGACCACUUGUUGUAUAUUUAUUUAUUUAUUUAUUUAUUUAUUUAUUUAUUUAUUUAUUUAUUUAUUUACUUAUUUUCUACUUUCAGAUAGCUAAUAUAAAAUUACUGAAAUAAAAAGAUAACAUAAGGAUACUUCAAUAACUGUUUUUUUUUAUAAGA
ensembl:lncRNA